GCCUGGAUAGCUCGGCUGGUUAGAGCGCGGUGCCGAUGAAGGCCAGAUUGCAGGUUCGAUCCCUGUAUGGGACA